UGGAGCAACUUAUUCUCACUGCCACACGGCUCCAAAUGGAAAUACUGGUUAUUCUUUUGUCAGACAAAGCUCAAACGUGUCUGCUCUCUAUGAGGCUCUCUGUGAGGCUGUUAUGGGACUUUUGGCGCUGUCACAGGUGUCGAACACGAAAGGACAAUUAAAACUAACCGCCAUCACAGAGCAACAGAUGGAGGUGCACAACAGGAUAUUACCACUAAGAGGAUUCCUCUUUCUUUGCCUGUCACUCUGGACUUUUUUUGUGGGGACAGACUCUUUCAUCGUGACCCAGCUCGACUGGCUUACUGGAACUGGUGUAGAGUUAUUGGUUAAGCCCUCUGAAACCCGCCACUACUCAUGUUGACCUGCUUGGCAAACAGAGAUCCCUGAUCGAGUCCGCUGUGAAUGACGUAAAAAUAAGUAACCAGGUGGGAUUAGAAAGUCCUCGUAUUGUCUUGAGUCUCUGAACUCUGAUCUUCCACUCAGAACUCUGAGGUACGUGCCAGCUCUCUGUGUGUGAAUGGCCCGGUGUCAAGUUUACUGACCCGUCUAGUACUACAUUAAUACCCUUACAAGAGGCAGUGUGUGCUUCCCAUUGGCAGGUAAGUGUUAGGACUUUUGCAAGGACUAAA